AGCAGCCGCGGUAAUUCCAGCUCCAAUAGCGUAUAUUAAAGUUGUUGCAGUUAAAAAGCUCGUAGUUGAAUUUCGGGAUUGACACAUCGGUCGUGCCUUAAGGGGUAUGAACUGGUGUAGUCAAUUUCUCACCUUCUGGAGAACCGCGAUGCCCUUAAUUGGGUGUCGCGAGGAACCAGGACCUUUACUUUGAAAAAAUUAGAGUGUUUAAAGCAGGCAUUUUGCUUGAAUACAUUAGCAUGGAAUAAUAAAAUAGGACGGCAUGAUUCUAUUUUGUUGGUUUUAGGAUCACCGUAAUGAUUAAUAGGGAUAGUUGGGGGCAUUAGUAUUCAAUUGUCAGAGGUGAAAUUCUUGGAUUUAUUGAAGACUAACUACUGCGAAAGCAUUUGCCAAGGAUGUUUUCAUUAAUCAAGAACGAAAGUUAGGGGAUCGAAGACGAUCAGAUACCGUCGUAGUCUUAACCAUAAACUAUGCCGACUAGGAAUCAGACGAUGUUAAUUUUUAAUGACUCGUUUGGCAC
rnacentral:rRNA from 1 species